CAUAACCAUUUGGUAUUCAUUUUGAUAUUGGUUGUUGUAGACCCAUCCCCAGCAACGACAACCUGCAAAAGGAAAAGCACGUAAAACUUGUCAAAAAGAGACCUAUCCCCAGAAACUUCAACCUGUAAAAGGAAAGGGCAGUCCGCCUGUCCUUCACAUUCGAAGGUCACGUAGAUCAUUACAUAAAACGUGUCAUGCAGUGGUGUAGAGGCUGGGUGAGAACGGGACGUGUUUCAUCAUUUUCAAGCAGCUACAAUAGCCGCAAGGCUUAAGAGGUGAGGGUGAUCAAAAAAUCGCAUAAAAGGAGAGAGAAAAGGCCAAGGUAAAUCAGUCGAGGGGGCAUCUCCGACACGGCAACAACUGCAGCGCUCUGUCUGUCAGUUCGCAUCCAUGGGUAAAUAUUCUGUCUUUUACAUAUAGUUUGGUAUCAAUCCUUCUUUUGUUUAUGUAUGCUUGUUAUUAUGUAAUAUUUCUGUUAAAAUUUAUAAUUGUCUAGCAAACUAUGGCUUAGUGCUGCUGUUGUGUGUUGAAUCAUUGAUGGCUGGGUCGACCACUGGUGUACCGAAGUCUUCUUGGUAUGGCGGAUACCAAACCACAACGCCGCCGCCUUACUACCCAAAAGCAACUUACGCAACGACCAGUUACUGCACCGAAGUCUUCAAGUACUACACCACUAAAGCACCGGAAGCACAACUUACGAUUCCCCGAGCCACUACACUGACGCCCUGAAGUAUUACUCUGCCCCGAGUUACUACACCACCAAGGCGACAGAGGAUGACUACGCCUGCUGCCCCAUCCUCCGAGGCUCAUACACCCAGGUUCCUAAUUGCUACACCGAGGCUCCCGCUGAUUGCUACACCGAAGCGGUAAAGUACUACUCCGCCCCGAUCUACACAACCAUAACUGAGGCGGCCAAGUAUUGCGCUGUCCCGACUUACUGCACAGAAGCUGCUCUUUCGUACUACGUUGAACAGAUACUACACUGAUGCUCCAGUUCACUACACCACGACCUACGCUACACCGCAGCCCCCAAGUACUACACUGAAGAAGCCGCCUACAACAACGCAUGCUGCCUAGUUUACUACACCGAGGCUCCCAAGUACUACAUCACUAAGGCACCGGAAUUCUACACGUCUAUGUAUGCUACCCCUGCCUACUUCACCGAGGCCCCGCGUUACUACAACAGUGAAGCGCUCAAGUACUACACUACAACCUGCGCUUCCCCGAGCUACUACACCUACGUCCCGAAGUAUUACUGUGCGUAAAAGGAGUCUUCCAAAAAAAAGAAGUGCCCGAACUGCAGUGCCUUAUCUGUCACCAACUGCUUUCCUCAUCAUGUAACCGAUUCGCAAUAAUGGUCAACUAUGGUGUCGUGCUCCUGUUGGGUGUUGUAUCGUUGAUGGCUGGGUCGACUGUUGGUGUAGCGAUGUCUCCUUAGUGUGGCGGAAACCAAACCGCAACGCCGCCGCCUUCCUACUCAACUUACGCAACGACCAGUUUCUGCACCGAUGUCUUCAAGUACUACACCACCAAAGCACCGGAGUUUUAUACCACAACUUACGCUUCCCCGAGCCACUACACUGAUGCCCUGAAGUAUUACUCUGCCCUGAGUUACUACACCAUCUAGGCGACGGACGACACCACAUGACUACGUAUACUGCCUAUCCUACCACUCCGAGGCUUCUAACUGCUACACCGAGGCUCCCGCUGAUUUCUCCACCAAGACGGUCGAAUACUACACCGAAGCGGCAAAGUACUAAUCUGCCCCAAUCUACACAACCACAACUGAGGCGGAGAAGUAUUGCGCAGUCCCGACUUGCUACACAAAGCUGCUGUUACGUGUUACGUUGAACAGAAUUACUACACCGAUGCUCCAGUCUACUACACCACGACUUACGCUACACCUAGCUACAACACCGCAGCCCUAAAGUACUACACCGAAGAAGCCGCCUAUCACACAACUACGUACGCUGCCUAGUGUACUACGUCGACGAAAUUAAGUAUUGCCCUGCUCGAAACUACUACCAAACUUCAUAUUUAUUGCAAUUUCCACGACUAUGUCACCACUGCUCCGACCUAUAAACCGAAGUUCUGAAGUAUUUCUCUGUAUGUGUUGAAAGAUUGCUGAAAUACAAGAUUGAUUGAUAGAU